rnacentral:lncRNA from 1 species
ACAUCGGCAAGAGUGGGGGAAACAGGGCCAUGGCCAAAGACAAAGGCGUUGAGUGUGUCUGACCAGAAGUAUGAUGCAGCUAUCAGCAGCGACUCGUUCCGAUGCAUAUCCGCAAUAGACAACCUAAUGCAUUGGGCUAGAUAUCUUUCACCCCAUUGGACUUCAUUUGAAUUGCUGACUCUCAAAAACCAAUCUGUCCACCCCACGGUAGGGCUGGGCCAGGAACGAAAAGUAUCCUUCCACAGAUCCAAAGAAAAGUUCUCUGCUCUAAAAGAGAUCCUGUUGGUUUCUGCGUUUAUGAGGUCGGUUGGAUUUGGAUCCCCUAACGGGCCAAGGCAUUGGAGAUGUGGUCGAUCAGUGGGGAUGACAAUUUUGUUAGCCGAUUCCUAGUGGUUUUGAAGAUAUAAAAAAGAAAACAAAAAAAAGGAAGAAAAGGGGGAAAAUAUUCAGUACGGCGGAUUGCAGAUGAACGAGGGUGUGAGAAAAGUACAAGGGAUGGUGCGAAGGACUGACCUCAGGGAUGAUGAAGUUGACGGCCAUUUUGCCACGAAGGAGAAGCUUGAGAGUUUCGGAGUUGGUGAAGAAGGAGCCUCGUCGGAGAUCUUGGAGCUUUUGGAACAGUGCCGCCGCCGGGAAGGUGAGGUUGGAGUUAUGGAAUGAUGUGAUGGAGAAGGAGUACCCGAGAAGGAACUACUUAUAGGGCAAAACGUGUAGGGGCAAAUCUGACUUAUCUCUUUGCCGCAUCCGAGAAAUCCGAGGGUGCUCAGGUAGAUAUGGUGACUGUUCGCACGGUAAUCAAGGGAUUGUACAGGUGAUUUGACAGGAAGCGGUGCAGGAAGCGGUCAUUAUUCAUAGAUAUUUCACUGUGCGAGAUCUCCUGGUCGGUCCAUCGGCGGUGUCUUAUAACGGUCAAAUUGCCGAUGGGCAAAUAAAAUGGAGGUAGCCGUUUGGGA